rnacentral:rRNA from 1 species
CGGUGUUCAACUGGCGUGCCCGCGGGACGUCCUGCCGGUGAGCUCAGCCCGCGAGGGCGGCUCAACUUGAAAUCCCAUCGCGGUGCUCUUCAUUGAGUGUCGAGGUGGGCCGGCACGGAUUACUUUUGAACAAAUUAGAGUGCUUAAAGCAGGCUAAAAUUUUGCCUGAAUACUGUGUAUAUGGAAUAAUGGAAUAGGACCUCGGUUCUAUUUUGUUGGUUUUCGGAACCCCGAGGUAAUGAUUAAUAGGAACGGAUGGGGGCAUUCGUAUUGCGACGUUAGAGGUGAAAUUCUUGGAUCGUCGCAAGACGGACUAAAGCGAAAGCAUUUGCCAAAAACGCUUUCAUUGAUCAAGAACGAAAGUUAGAGGUUCGAAGGCGAUCAGAUACCGCCCUAGUUCUAACCAUAAACUAUGCCAGCUAGCGAUCCGCCGACGUCCCUCUGAUGACUCGGCGGGCAGCUUCCGGGAAACCAAAGCUUUUGGGUUCCGGGGGAAGUAUGGUUGCAAAGCUGAAACUUAAAGGAAUUGACGGAAGGGCACCACCAGGAGUGGAGCCUGCGGCUUAAUUUGACUCAACACGGGAAACCUCACCAGGCCCAGACACUGGAAGGAUUGACAGAUUGAGAGCUCUUUCUUGAUUCAGUGGGUGGUGGUGCAUGGCCGUUCUUAGUCGGUGGAGCGAUUUGUCAGGUUAAUUCCGAUAACGGACGAGACUCUGACCUGAUAACUAGACGCACUUGCGGCAUCUCAAAGGUCCGCCGGCGGCUGGCUUUGCGCCCGUCGUCGCGCGCGAUUUUUACUGCCGGCGUACAAUAAAUUCUUCUUAGAGGGACAAGUGG